rnacentral:misc_RNA from 1 species
AAGUCGUAACAAGGUUUCCGUAGGUGAACCUGCGGAAGGAUCAUUAACUUCUAUCAUAUAACGCGAUGCAGUGUCUCUUACAUAGUAUGAGACCGCUAGCAAAACAAACAAGUAACCUGGGGUACUUUAAAGUGGAGGCAACUCUGCUUUGGAGCCCUGCAAUAAUCCUUUUUUUAAUACCAUUCUACCCUUUAAACUAUAAGACUGAUAUGACAUGAUAAAAAAUGUCAAAAUUAAAUUAAUAAACAACUCUUAACAAUGGAUAUCUAGGUUCUG